UUUGAUCCUGGCUCAGAGUGACCGCUGGCGUGUAGGCCUAACACAUGCAAGUCGAACAGGCCAGCACAGGAGAGCUUGCUCUCAUGGGUGGCGCAGUGGCGGACGGGUGAGGAAUACAUCGGAAUCAUACAUUUUUCGUGGGAGGAUAACGUAGNGGAAACUUACGCUAAUACCGCAAUACGACCUAC
rnacentral:rRNA from 1 species